rnacentral:rRNA from 1 species
AGAGUUUGAUCCUGGCUCAGAACGAACGCUGGCGGCAUGCCUAACACAUGCAAGUCGAACGAAGGCUUCGGCCUUAGUGGCGCACGGGUGCGUAACGCGUGGGAAUCUGCCCCUCGGUUCGGAAUAACAGUUGGAAACGACUGCUAAUACCGGAUAAUGACGAAAGUCCAAAGAUUUAUCGCCGAGGGAUGAGCCCGCGUAGGAUUAGGUAGUUGGUGGGGUAAAGGCCUACCAAGCCGACGAUCCUUAGCUGGUCUGAGAGGAUGAUCAGCCACACUGGGACUGAGACACGGCCCAGACUCCUACGGGAGGCAGCAGUGGGGAAUAUUGGACAAUGGGCGAAAGCCUGAUCCAGCAAUGCCGCGUGAGUGAUGAAGGCCUUAGGGUUGUAAAGCUCUUUUACCCGGGAUGAUAAUGACAGUACCGGGAGAAUAAGCUCCGGCUAACUCCGUGCCAGCAGCCGCGGUAAUACGGAGGGAGCUAGCGUUGUUCGGAAUUACUGGGCGUAAAGCGCACGUAGGCGGCUACUCAAGUCAGAGGUGAAAGCCCGGGGCUCAACCCCGGAACUGCCUUUGAAACUAGGUAGCUGGAAUCUUGNAGAGGUCAGUGGAAUUCCGAGUGUAGAGGUGAAAUUCGUAGAUAUUCGGAAGAACACCAGUGGCGAAAGGCGACUGACUGGUACAAGUAUUGACGCUGAGGGCG